UUGCUUCCUUGUAAUGCAACUUCUUCUCCCACAAAUCUGCAUUCCUCGCCUCACUAUAUAUAUAUACACACACAUCCAACACCAACUCACUUGUCAUCAGUUAAUCCACUCUCACCUCAAAAACACCUCAACAAAUAUAUAAACUCCUCUGCUCUUUUCAGACAGAUUUUCAUCUCCAACUUAUUACAAGUCUUUUAAGAUUAAAAAAAAACCACAUCAAUUGUUUUUGUUUGUGGGGAUCGAUGGCGAAGGUGAUUAGUAUUUGGAUGGAGGUUGCACCCUCUCUCAUUAUAUUUCCACAUUAUAAGCACACAAAUCUUCCCAGUCUGGAGACCAUAAUAGAGGAGGAUUCUGAUGAUGAAGAUAUUUUUGAUGGAGAAAAUUGCCAAGGAACCAGCAGCUUCAAAGGGUCUUGAAAGCCCGCCCCCCCCCCCCUUAAUAUUGUUUUAAUCAGUGUCUAUUUAAUGUGGGAGUGAGUUGUGACAUGUAGACUUUUUUCAGUAUAAAUUGUAUAUCCAACGAUACAUGUAAUGUGUAAUGAUACCUGAAAUGAAUAUUAAUUAUCUGUAUCACCUGUAUUUCUGGAUUGAAUAAAAGGUUUCUAAUUUGCAAUUCAAUGACACGAUUUGAGGGAA
rnacentral:lncRNA from 1 species